AGCGAACGCUGGCGGCAGGCCUAACACAUGCAAGUCGAACGAACUCUUCGGAGUUAGUGGCGGACGGGUGAGUAACACGUGGGAACGUGCCUUUUGGUUCGGAAUAACUCAGGGAAACUUGUGCUAAUACCGAAUGUGCCCUUCGGGGGAAAGAUUUAUCGCCAUUAGAGCGGCCCGCGUCUGAUUAGCUAGUUGGUGAGGUAACGGCUCACCAAGGCGACGAUCAGUAGCUGGUCUGAGAGGAUGACCAGCCACACUGGGACUGAGACACGGCCCAGACUCCUACGGGAGGCAGCAGUGGGGAAUCUGGCGCAAUGGGCGAGAGCCUGACGCAGCCAUGCCGCGUGAAUGAUGAAGGUCUGAGGAUUGUAAAAUUCUUUCACCGGGGACGAUAAUGACGGUACCCGGAGAAGAAGCCCCGGCUAACUUCGUG
rnacentral:rRNA from 1 species